rnacentral:lncRNA from 1 species
GAUUAUUUUUUUAUGUAAGGUUACCCAGUGCCGUUGUGUCUAUCUGCUGAAAGGAGUUGCUCUCACAGGUUCAUUAGUUGAUUAAUCUUGUAAAUUCCUAUUAAAGGGUUUGGUUUGGUCAUUCUGAAGAUCGUGCCAUUCCUGACCUUCCAAAUGACCCACCAGCAUGCUAUUAAACUGAUUAGCCUGGGCCUUGAAUUUGACGAACCCAUCCUAUUUUUCCACCUGUCCCAGACCAAAAUCACUGCAUCCUCGCCCAAAUCUCUUGUCCGAACGUCGCCCAAAUCUUUUGGAUUAAUAUUAAAACC